rnacentral:lncRNA from 1 species
GUAAAUUAUGCCAAAAACAAUUAGAAUUAUGGGGAAAAAGUACCAAAAUUGACCUUUUAUUACAAAUUGUGUUUAUUUAAGGGGUCAUAGCUUGAUAAUUUGUAAAGGAAAGUGCCAGAAAAAAUAAUCUUGUCUUAAUAGUAUUAUCACAAGUAUUUCUAUAUGAAAUUUGGAAUAUUUUGACCCAAUUUAAAAAACAUAAAAAAUCAGGGCCAAUUUUAACCCUUCGUGAACC